CACGUGUGCAACCAACCCCGUACCGGGAGAUAACCCGCGGAAACGUGGACUAACAUCCCAUGAGACUCUAGAGCCGCAUGGCUCUCGAUUUAAAAUUCCGGUGGUACGGGACGGGCACGCGCGACAUUAGGUAGUUGGCGGGGGUAACGGCCCACCAAGCCGACGAUGUCUAGGGGUUCUGAGAGGAAGGUCCCCCACACUGGAACUGAGACACGGUCCAGACUCCUACGGGAGGCAGCAGUGAGGAAUAUUGGUCAAUGGGCGAGAGCCUGAACCAGCCAAGUCGCGUGAGGGAAGAAUGGUCUAUGGCCUGCAAACCUCUUUUGUCAGGGAAGAAUAAGGAUGACGAGUCAUUCGAUGCCAGUACUUGACGAAUAAGCAUCGGCUAACUCCGUGCCAGCAGCCGCGGUAAUACGGGGGAUGCGAGCGUUAUCCGGAUUUAUUGGGUUUAAAGGGCGCGUAGGCGGGACGUCAAGUCAGCGGUAAAAGACUGCAGCUAAACUGUAGCACGCCGUUGAAACUGGCGCCCUGGAGACGAGACGAGGGAGGCGGAACAAGUGAAGUAGCGGUGAAAUGCAUAGAUAUCACUUGGAACCCCGAUAGCGAAGGCAGCUUCCCAGGCUCGUUCUGACGCUGAUGCGCGAGAGCGUGGGUAGCGAACAGGAUUAGAUACCCUGGUAGUCCACGCCGUAAACGAUGCUCACUGGAUCUUGGCGAUACACGGCCAGGGUUCAAGCGAAAGUAUUAAGUGAGCCACCUGGGGAGUACGUCGGCAACGAUGAAACUCAAAGGAAUUGACGGGGGCCCGCACAAGCGGAGGAACAUGUGGUUUAAUUCGAUGAUACGCGAGGAACCUUACCCGGGUUUAAAUGUAGAUUGCAUGAGGUGGAAACACUUCUUCCCUUCGGGGCUAUUUACAAGGUGCUGCAUGGUUGUCGUCAGCUCGUGCCGUGAGGUGUCGGGUUAAGUCCCAUAACGAGCGCAACCCCUAUCGCCAGUUGCCAUCGGUUCAAGCCGGGCACUCUGUCGAGACUGCCACCGUAAGGUGCGAGGAAGGCGGGGAUGACGUCAAGUCAGCACGGCCCUUACACCCGGGGCGACACACGUGUUACAAUGGCCGGUACAGAGGGCAGCCACGGGGUGACCCGGAGCGAAUCUCUAAAGCCGGUCGUAGUUCGGACUGGAGUCUGCAACCCGACUCCACGAAGUUGGAUUCGCUAGUAAUCGCGCAUCAG
rnacentral:rRNA from 1 species